CUCCAUGAAUUGCUAAGUGUAAGUGUGGAAACCUCCUCCAUACCCCACUUAUCCUUCAUACUCAUACUUGACUCUUUCAACAGGAAUCUGUCCCCCUGACCCUAAGUCACUAAUCAUCUUGGAGCCAGCCCCAGUAACUGGUAAAGAAUUAGAAUUAGAAUGACAAGGGUUUCCUAUGUCAGUGUGUCUGCCUCCCUCCAUGGAAGAUGCUUCCCAGAUUGCCUCUAGCUCAGCCUCAGCAGGGCUUGGUAACCUUCAACCAGAGGACUCAGUGGUGUCUUCAGCAAAGAUUCCACCAAUGAAGUCUCUUCUAGGAAAGGAAGGCCUCUCUGGAACCAAUCUCUUCAGAAGUCAGGAAAGGAAGACCAGCCACUCACCCAGCAAGUAGAAGCAGGAUCCCAAGAUGAACUUCUCCAAAGGAGAAGUCACAAGGUGAAGUCCAAAAGGCAAAGUCCUCCAAAGAAGCAGUCCAAAGGAGAAGCCUCAAAGAACUCUUUUGGACCGAAGUUCAGGCCUUUUUUUCUUUUUUUUUUUUUACAAAUGUAUUUAAUUAGUCAAUUUAGAAUUUUUUCCUUGUUUACAAAAGUCAUGUUCUUUCCCUUCCCCCCUUCCCAUAGCCGACUCACAAUUCCACUGGGUUUUACAUGUGUUCCGGACUUUUUAUAGUCCUUUUCCCAUAUCAUUUCCUGUCCCUUCCCCACUUUACAGGGAACCAAACACAGUCUUUCAAUUUGCCUGGCACUACUGAAGGGGGUUGGCAGUGGCCUCUGGAGUUGUCACCCACUCUGGUAAGUGACUCUUGAAUUCUCUUAUUUAGUAUUAAGUAGGUUCUUGAUUAAUUUAAAAGUUGCUGAUUGAUAGACAAAGUUUGAUUGACUCUUCACAGGAGGCCAAAUUUGAACCCAGGACCUCCUGUCUCUAGGUCUGGCUCUCAAUACACUGAGCUGCCCCCUUCUCCAGCUCAUUUUACAGGUAAGAAAACUGAGGCAAACAGGGUUAAAUGAGUUGCUAGGGUCACAGAGGUAGUAUCUAAGAUCAAAUUUGAAUUGGUCUUCCUGACUCCAGGCCCAGAGCUCUAUCUGUGCCAUCUAACUUUCAAUAUUUAUCAGCUUUUUUUUUUCCUUUUAACUCUAACUUUUGGCCUUGCUAUCAACUUUUGAACACAAUGGGCAAAUGGGAGUUAAGUGACUUGUCCAGGGUCACAUAGCUAGGAAGUGUCUGAGUUAAUAUUUGAACUCAGGUCCUCUUAAUUCCAGGCCUGGUGUUCUAUCCAUUAUACCAUCUAGAUGCGCCCAUAGUAGGUUCUUAAUGUUUGCUGAAUGAUUGACUGAUGGGCCUUUAGGAGAUCAGGUAGACUCAGAGGUUUGGAUUGAAGCAUCUUGAAAAUCAGUCUAAAACACUAAUGUAGGUCUAGCUUUGAAUAGAUUCAAACAUUGAAGAAAAUAAUUUAGAAUUAUACUAGAAAUGUCACUAAUAUCCUUUGAUCCAGCAAUACUGAUACAAGGCAUAUAGUUGAAGUCAAAAGGAGGGGAAAAGUCCCCAUAUACACAAAAAUAUUUGUAGCUGUACUUUUUGUGGUAGCAAAUAACAAACUUUAGAGGAAACUGAGUUCUCAUUAGCUAGGGUAUGGUUAAACAAAGUAGUAUAGUAAUGUAACACAGUAGUAUAGAGGGGGCAGCUAGGUGGCUCAGUAGAUUGAGAACCAGACCUCCUGACCCUGGACAAGUCAUUUAACCUCAUUGCCUAGCCCUUACCACUCUUCUGUCUUGGAAUCAAGGCACAGUAUUAAGUGUUAUUAGUAUUAAGUAUUAGUAUUAUUAGUAUUAAGUAUUAAGUAUUAAGGAAGAUAAAGGUCUGAAAAAAAAUAGUAUAAAGGUAAGUUAGUCCUUCAUCAAAUUCAACUGGAUUAUGAAUACAUGAAAAAACAUUUAUUAGACACUUACUAAAGCACUUCUAGUGGCCAAGCACUUUGCUAAGCAUUGCUGAUAUAAAUAUCAAACAAAACAAAAAACAAACCCAAAACUGUCCUUGCCCUCAAGGAAAUUACAUUUUAAUAGGGGAGAUAGGGGAAAGAGACCCUUUGGUCCAUUGAUUUGAAAUUUAAAAGAAUGGUAAAUAGGACCAUAGAUGAGUAGGUUAACAUACCCCAUCCAGGAACAAAGGCAGAGUUGAUUUGAUUAUGGUUCAUUAUUCCAGAACUGGAAGGGACAGAGAGCAAAAGAGGAUUCCACAAGAUAGCUGGGGGAGGGGGAGGCAGGGCAGAAGUUCCUGGUGUCUGGCUCUGUAUUUAGAAAGGAGGCUGUAAUAACCUAAUGGGUGUCCAUGUCUCUCCCCUCUACAAUAUAUUCACCAUGAGUCUUCCAGGUCUCAUUUUUAAAAGCAACAAUUUUGGUCAUGUCUCCCCUGCUCAAGAAAAUCCAGUGACUCCCUCUCUCCAUAGGAUAAAAUAUACUCUUGUUUGACUUUUAUAGCUUUUAACAAUUUGGCACUUUCCAGGCUUAUUGUAUAUUCUUCUUCUUUAUGAACUCUAUAUUCCAUCCAAGUUGAGCUUGCUGCUUGUUGUUUCCUAUACCUAUGUUCUAAAUCCCAUUGUGUCUUUGCAUAAGCUGUCCCCUUUCUAAGAAUACACUCUCAUCUCACCUCCAUCUCUUAGAAUCCUUCAAAGCUUAGUUCAAUUGUCAUUUCCUACAGGAAGCCUUUCCUAUUCCUCCCUAGUUGCUAGUACCCUCUGCUUCCUAAAAAUUACUUUCUAUAUAUUUUUAAUUUCUAUGGACUUAUUUUCCCCUGUAGGUUAGUUCCUGGAGUAAAUAGUAUUUCAGUUUCUUUGCUCCCCACGACCUAACAUAAUGCCUGGCACAUAGUAGGUGCUUAAUAAAUGUGUGUUGACCAGAAUUGGAAGGGAGCA
rnacentral:lncRNA from 1 species